rnacentral:lncRNA from 1 species
GAGGAAGCUACGCUGCAGGGCUCAGCCCGCUGCAGCUCCGCCUACGGUCUGACCUUGCGAAGGUUCGGUGCUGAGCGCAGGCGCUGGACUCUUCGACGGAGAGUCAAAGAAACAGCGUCCUCGCCUUCCUAUGGAGGAGUCGCGGUCGUCGGGUCCGCGAGAAGGUGGAAGGGUAUAGGAUGUUACAAGUGUGGAGGUCAAAGGACAACUCUUGGGAAUCUCUUCUAUCCUUCUACCAAGCAGGUCUCAGGCAUCAAACAUGGGCCAGCUCCUCAGACUUGGCAGCCAGCGCCUUUACUUGAAGAGCCAUCUUACUGCUCAAAAAGGUUUUCUAAUACAAGGACCGUGUAGCCCGGCUGUCCCAGAAUUCGAUGUGCAGACCAAGUUGGCCUUGAACUCACAAACAUUUACCUGCCUCUGCCUCUAGAGUGUUGGGAUUAAAAGCAUUUGCCACUUUUUUUGUUUUUACAAAGGUCUUUCUGGUUGGACCUGCUUCCAUCCAACAUCCCCACAGGUGGCCUAUUCGGAUUUUUUUCUCCUCCUUCUCCUCUCCUUCCAGCAAGGAAGCGUCCUGUCCCCCAACUCCACAUGGUGAAAACAGAAUUCUCAAAUUACCUAUGCAGGCCCUUGCACAUUUUUUUUCCUGAUUUAUACUGUCCCCCUCUAUAGACUCUCCUGUCAUACCCAAGACACCAAAAAUAGCUAUUUGUUCUGCCACUCUUCCUUUGGCAGCUUUCACUCUUACCUUAACGGUAACAAGUCCAAAUUCAUGUCUCCUUACAGAACACCAAACAAACAAAAGCUGCGUCAGUCUCAAGUUAUAUCUAAUAUAAAAUCUGGAUUGGCAAAACAGCUCAGCAGGUAAAAAUUCACAACAUUCAAGCCCAACAAACUGAGUCCCUAAAGUUGUCCUCUGUCCUCAACACAGGCACACACAUACGCACACACACAUAUGCACACCUACACACACACACACACACACACACACUUACGCACACACACAUACACACACAUACUCACACCUACAUCCACAAACACACUUGGGAUGCUGGAGCCUCAAUUGGAGAAUUGCCUCCAUCAGAUUGGACUGUGGGAAUGUCUUUGGGAGAAUGUUCUUGAUUAAUGAUUGAUGUGGGAGCGCCCAGCCCACUGUGGGCAAGUGGUAUAACAGGGUGAGCUGAGCAAGCCAUGGGAGGCAGCCAGUAAGCACUGUCCUCCUACGUCUAUGCUUCAGUUCCUGCCUCGAGCUCCUGCCCUGACUUCUCUCAAGGAUGACUGGGUAACUGUAAGAUGAAAUAAACCCUUUCCUCCCCACA